CCUACGGGUGGCAGCAGUGGGGAAUAUUGCACAAUGGGGGAAACCCUGAUGCAGCGACGCCGCGUGAGUGAAGAAGUAUUUCGGUACGUAAAGCUCUAUCAGCAGGGAAGAAAAUGACGGUACCUGACUAAGAAGCCCCGGCUAACUACGUGCCAGCAGCCGCGGUAAUACGUAGGGGGCAAGCGUUAUCCGGAUUUACUGGGUGUAAAGGGAGCGUAGACGGCAGCGCAAGUCUGGAGUGAAAUCCCAUGGCUUAACCAUGGAACUGCUUUGGAAACUGUGCAGCUAGAGUGCAGGAGAGGUAAGCGGAAUUCCUAGUGUAGCGGUGAAAUGCGUAGAUAUUAGGAGGAACACCAGUGGCGAAGGCGGCUUACUGGACUGUAACUGACGUUGAGGCUCGAAAGCGUGGGGAGCAAACAGGAUUAAAUACCCCAGUAGUC
rnacentral:rRNA from 1 species